GAUGAACGCUAGCUCCAGGCUUAACACAUGCAAGUCGAGGGACCGGCGCACGGGUGAGUGACACGUAUCCAACCUGCCCUUUACUCGGGGAUAGCCUUUCGCAAGAAAGAUUAAUACCCGAUGUAAAGGAUGGGGAUGCGUUCUAUUAGGUUGUGGGUGAGGUAACGGCGAACCAAGCCUUCGAGUGAUAGGGGUUCUGAGGUGAAGGUCCACCACAUUGGAACCGAGACACGGUCCAAACGCCUACGGGAGGCAGCAGUGAGGAAUACUGGUCAAGGGGCGUUAGCCUGAACCAGCCAAGUAGCGUGAAGGAUGAAGGCUUAUGGGUCGUAAACUUCUUUUAUAUAAGAAUAUGUAUUAUAUGAAUAAGGAUCGGCUAACUCCGUGCCAGCAGCCGCGGUAAUAC
rnacentral:rRNA from 1 species